GAAACCUGCCCAGAAGCGGGGGAUAACACCUGGAAACAGAUGCUAAUACCGCAUAACAACUUGGACCGCAUGGUCCGAGUUUGAAAGAUGGCUUCGGCUAUCACUUUUGGAUGGUCCCGCGGCGUAUUAGCUAGAUGGUGGGGUAACGGCUCACCAUGGCAAUGAUACGUAGCCGACCUGAGAGGGUAAUCGGCCACAUUGGGACUGAGACACGGCCCAAACUCCUACGGGAGGCAGCAGUAGGGAAUCUUCCACAAUGGACGAAAGUCUGAUGGAGCAACGCCGCGUGAGUGAAGAAGGGUUUCGGCUCGUAAAACUCUGUUGUUAAAGAAGAACAUAUCUGAGAGUAACUGUUCAGGUAUUGACGGUAUUUAACCAGAAAGCCACGGCUAACUACGUGCCAGCAGCCGCGGUAAUACGUAGGUGGCAAGCGUUGUCCGGAUUUAUUGGGCGUAAAGCGAGCGCAGGCGGUUUUUUAAGUCUGAUGUGAAAGCCUUCGGCUCAACCGAAGAAGUGCAUCGGAAACUGGGAAACUUGAGUGCAGAAGAGGACAGUGGAACUCCAUGUGUAGCGGUGAAAUGCGUAGAUAUAUGGAAGAACACCAGUGGCGAAGGCGGCUGUCUGGUCUGUAACUGACGCUGAGGCUCGAAAGUAUGGGUAGCAAACAGGAUUAGAUACCCUGGUAGUCCAUACCGUAAACGAUGAAUGCUAAGUGUUGGAGGGUUUCCGCCCUUCAGUGCUGCAGCUAACGCAUUAAGCAUUCCGCCUGGGGAGUACGGCCGCAAGGCUGAAACUCAAAGGAAUUGACGGGGGCCCGCACAAGCGGUGGAGCAUGUGGUUUAAUUCGAAGCUACGCGAAGAACCUUACCAGGUCUUGACAUACUAUGCAAAUCUAAGAGAUUAGACGUUCCCUUCGGGGACAUGGAUACAGGUGGUGCAUGGUUGUCGUCAGCUCGUGUCG
rnacentral:rRNA from 2 species